AUAUCUCUCUGUACGGGAAGGAUGAGAAGCUUCGACCAAGGUUCGAUUCGAGCGCAGCGAGAAAGCGUUGCCGCAGGCAACGACCCGAAGGGCGAAGCGCGCAGCGCUGAGUCAUCCUUCCCCCAC
rnacentral:sRNA from 2 species